GACGAACGCUGGCGGCGUGCUUAACACAUGCAAGUCGAACGGAAAGGCCCUGCUUUUGUGGGGUGCUCGAGUGGCGAACGGGUGAGUAACACGUGAGUAACCUGCCCUUGACUUUGGGAUAACUUCAGGAAACUGGGGCUAAUACCGGAUAGGAGCUCCUGCUGCAUGUUGGGGUUUGGAAAGUUUCGGCGGUUGGGGAUGGACUCGCGGCUUAUCAGCUUGUUGGUGGGGUAGUGGCUUACCAAGGCUUUGACGGGUAGCCGGCCUGAGAGGGUGACCGGCCACAUUGGGACUGAGAUACGGCACAGACUCCUACGGGAGGCAGCAGUGGGGAAUAUUGCACAAUGGGCGGAAGCCUGAUGCAGCAACGCCGCGUGCGGGAUGACGGCCUUCGGGUUGUAAACCGCUUUCGCCUGUGACGAAGCGUGAGUGACGGUAAUGGGUAAAGAAGCACCGGCUAACUACGUG
rnacentral:rRNA from 1 species